AUACGGAGGAUGCAAGCGUUAUCCGGAUUUAUUGGGUUUAAAGGGUGCGCAGGCGGGCUGUUAAGUCAGCGGUGAAAUGUCCCGGCUCAACCGGGGCACUGCCGUUGAUACUGGCAGCCUAGAGUACAGACGGCGCCGGCGGAAUGUGUCAUGUAGCGGUGAAAUGCUUAGAUAUGCCACAGAACACCGAUCGCGAAGGCAGCUGGCGAGGCUGGAACUGACGCUCAGGCACGAAAGCGUGGGGAUCAAACAGGAUUAGAUACCCUGGUAGUCCACGCAGUAAACGAUGAUAACUUGUUGUCGGCGAUAGACAGUCGGUGACAAAGCGAAAGCGAUAAGUUAUCCACCUGGGGAGUACGAUCGCAAGGUUGAAACUCAAAUGAAUUGGCGGGG
rnacentral:rRNA from 1 species